AUUGAACGCUGGCGGCAGGCCUAACACAUGCAAGUCGAGCGAGCGGCGGACGGGUGAGGAAUGUAUGGGGACUGCCCGAUAGAGGGGGAUAACUACUGGAAACGGUAGCUAAUACCGCAUACUAUCGGACACCCCAUAUGGGAUUAGCUAGUAGGUGAGGUAAUGGCUCCACUAGGCGACGAUCCCUAGCUGGUCUGAGAGGAUGAUCAGCCACACUGUGCCUGAGAAACGGCCCAGACUCCUACGGAGGCAGCAGUGGGGAAUAUUGCACAAGGGGCGCAAGCCUGAUGCAGCCAUGCCGCGUGUAUGAAGAAGGCCCUAGGGUUGUAAAGUACUUUCAGUCGGGAGGCGGGACCGAAAGAAGAAGCACCGGCUAACUCCGUGCCAGCAGCCGCGGUAAUUA
rnacentral:rRNA from 1 species